rnacentral:rRNA from 1 species
UACGGAGGAUCCAAGCGUUAUCCGGAUUUAUUGGGUUUAAAGGGUGCGUAGGCGGCUUAUUAAGUCAGUGGUGAAAGCCUGGAGCUUAACUCCAGAACUGCCAUUGAUACUGAUGAGCUUGAGUACAGUUGAGGUUGGCGGAAUGUGUCAUGUAGCGGUGAAAUGCUUAGAUAUGACACAGAACACCGAUUGCGAAGGCAGCUAGCUAAACUGUAACUGACGCUGAGGCACGAAAGCGUGGGUAGCAAACAGGAUUAGAUA